rnacentral:rRNA from 1 species
GGUGUUGAGGUACACCUCUUUACAUACCGAACAGAGAAGUUAAGCUCAAUUACGCCGAUGGUACUGCUGGAAAGUGGGAGAGUAGGUUUCGCCGAAU